rnacentral:rRNA from 1 species
CCCGCUGAACUUAAGCAUAUCAAUAAGCGGAGGAAAAGAAACUAACAAGGAUUCCCCUAGUAACUGCGAGUGAAGCGGGAAAAGCUCAAAUUUAAAAUCUGGCAGCCAUUUUACGGUUGUCCGAGUUGUAAUCUAGAGAAGUGCUUUCCGCGCUGGACCGUGUACAAGUCUCUUGGAAUAGAGCAUCAUAGAGGGUGAGAAUCCCGUCUUUGACACGGACUACCAGUGCUUUAUGUGAUGCGCUCUCAAAGAGUCGAGUUGUUUGGGAAUGCAGCUCAAAAUGGGUGGUAAAUUCCAUCUAAAGCUAAAUAUGGGCGAAAGACCGAUAGCGAACAAGUACCGUGAGGGAAAGAUGAAAAGCACCUUGAAAAGAGAGUUAAACAGUACGUGAAAUUGUUGAAAGGGAAACGCUCGAAGUCAGUCGCGUCUUCCGAGACUCAGCUUCGCGUUCGCGCGGAGGGCAUUUCUCGGGCUUAGACGGGCCAGCGUCGAUUUCGCUCGUCGGACAAAGGAGGGGGGAAAGUGGCACCCUUUCGGGGGUGUGUUAUAGCCCCUCUUCGGACGCGACGGGCAGGGAUCGAGGAUCGCAGCACGCCCCACCUUUGGGGCCGGGGUUCGCCCACGGUAACGUGCUUAGGACGCUGGCGUAAUGGCUUUGAGCGACCCGUCUUGAAACACGG